GUGCCAGCAGCCGCGGUAAUACGUAGGUGGCAAGCGUUAUCCGGAAUUAUUGGGCGUAAGGCGCGCGUAGGCGGUUUUUUAAGUCUGAUGUGAAAGCCCACGGCUCAACCGUGGGGGGUCAUUGGAAACUGGAAAACUUGAGUGCAGAAGAGGAAAGUGGAAUUCCAUGUGUAGCGGUGAAAUGCGCAGAGAUAUGGAGGAACACCAGUGGCGAAGGCGACUUUCUGGUCUGUAACUGACGCUGAUGUGCGAAAGCGUGGGGAUCAAACAGGAUUAGA
rnacentral:rRNA from 1 species